GGCUCUCCGAGGCAUGCUGGGCUUUCGGCACAAAGAAAACUCUGCUCGUUGUGGCUUAUUUGUAACCAAAGCACAGCCUGCCCACCCUCGCCUUUAUUCUAGCCUAUAAAGCCCACCUCAUCUGAGCAUGACAUCAUGAGCAGUCUGGAGAGGCCAGACUCCGACCCCUGCCAUGUCUUCUUUACUUACUGUUUGGUUUGGAAGUGUAACCAUGCUGGCUCAGGGUAGAAGGGCUUGUGGGGAAGUUCAUGUGUCCCCUUACUCUCUGUUCUGCCUGGACCUUCCUGAAGUCCUGGGUUUCUCUAAUUCCCUUUUUUUUUUUUAAAGUGUAUACUGGAAGACGUUUUAAAGAUGAAAAUGAAGCUUUAAUGAGCCCAAGUAGAAGGUGGCGGAAGAGUCAGGAGCCAAAGACAGCGAACUGUUGUUGUCCAAAAGUACUAACCAAGCCUGGCAUGAAGGAUGCUGUUGGAUUCCUGCACCGUUACCCAGCAGUGAGGGAGGGAUAGAGUUGGGGGAGAGUAGAUCUGCUCUCCCUGGGCAACGGGCCAGACUUCCAUUUCUGCUUUACCACUCACUAUUCAAGCUGUGAAGCUUUCUGGCUCUGAGGUGUUGAGGGGUUAGUGCAUGGUGCAUUAUUUUGAUUUCGCCAGAAGAUAACCUUUUGACUACUUAAGAAGAAGCAUUCCUCAGAGUGUUUGCGGAGCCAGACAGAAGAAAUGGUUUAGAGUGGUCUUAUUUUCACAUACGGUUGGAGUCUUCAGAAUCUGUUCCUGGAAACAGCUGUGUGAUUGAAUACACAGAACUGAGUCCGCUGUAGAACCCGCUCCUCACGGAACAAACAGCGUUUAUUGCAUGCCUGCUGGCCCGCUAUGCCGGAAUAACUCCUAUUAAAUUAGCAAUUAAGCAAAGUAAAGCUUGACUUGGAGAACAACCCAAAGCACAAUGAGAUGGAUGUGACGCCGAUCGAAUUCUCGAGAGCUGUGUGUAACUUUUAAAUGUUACCUACAAAUUUAUAAUGUACCUGAUUAGCUUGAAAUGUCAAAAUCAUAACUGAAGACCCCACAGAGGCUUUCUAAAGGGCACAGUGCCUCUCCUUCCUUAUUUUGCUUCACUUUCUUCUUUUCCCACUUCAAGAUUCUUCAGAAGACCUAGCUAGCAGAGGCUUCCCGCUCAGCCUGCUAAUAACAACCAGAAAUAUUCACAGUAUUCCCUGGGUCUCCUCCACUCCUCACAUGGUCAGGUGUUGGCAUGCAGUCCGUAUUCUCAACCUAAUCACUUGCGUAUAAAGUCGGAACUUCGCAGCUGUCUCAAAAUCGUACACCAUUUAUUUUUAGGAAGGCAUUGCUGUCAAUAACAGAAAGCAGGGGCGGUGGCGGGGGGGGGGUGUCUCAUCUCAGACAAUGUGUGGAAUUGCACCUGACUGACAAAGCCACUGAAGGAGCUGGCAGAUACUAUUCUUACACUAGUUACCAUAUGUCUUACAUCAAAUGCAGCUCUGGUCUGAUUAUCAUUCGGGCUUUCUAGAAGGAGAUGGGAGAGAGCUGUCAGGGAGAGCUGGUCCUGGGUGCAAAUGCUGCCCCCCCCCAUACAGGCUUCCAAGUCUACUCAAGAAAACAAUUAAAACUCCAUUUGCAUCAAAAAUAAGAGAGCCCUGGGUUAAUUACAGGUAAGGUUGCAUUUGCAUUCCCAGGGGCUAGCCACUGCCAGGUUCUAUUUUUGAGGGGGAAAAAUGCUUCUGCAGUUUAACUAAAUCUACAUUCUUUUUUUUUUCUCUCUCUCUCUUAAAAUUCUAUGUGGCCAAAGGGAACCUGCCACUCAAAGGAUUUUCAAAGGUAACCUGGGAAACUUGGGUUUUCCAGAGUCUGGAUGCAGCUAGGGAACCAGAAACCUUAACAAAAGAAGACGCGGGAGGUUGAUGCCUCUGCGAGGCUCAGAGAAAGUGGUGGUGGCUAUUCCCAAGGCUGCAUGGUCGGCCAAUUGAGCUGUGCAGGCGCAGAGCCCAGGAUGCUCUAAACUAAGGGGACUUGUCACCAGGACAAGUUUGUCCAGGAGGUAACUUUCCCACUGGGGAGACAGCAGACUAGGGGACGUGGCUGCUACACAAGGACCAGGACAGGGGUUAGGUCCCAGGACAUGUGUAAAAACAGGGCGUGGUGACACAUGCUUGGGAUGGCGGCACUGCGGAGUCGAGGACAGGGAUGCCACUGGGCUUUGUUGAUU